rnacentral:rRNA from 1 species
AGAUUGAACGCUGGCGGCAUGCCUAACACAUGCAAGUCGAACGGGAGUAGCAAUACUCUAGUGGCGGACGGGUGAGGAAUACGUAGGAAUUUGCCCUUAAGUGGGGGAUAACCCGGGGAAACCCGGAUUAAUACCGCAUGACCUCGAAAGAGCAAAGUGGGGGAUCGCAAGACCUCACGCUUUUGGAGAAGCCUACGUCGGAUUAGCUAGUUGGUGAGGGUAAUGGCUCACCAAGGCGACGAUCCGUAACUGGUCUGAGAGGAUGAUCAGUCACACCGGAACUGAGACACGGUCCGGACUCCUACGGGAGGCAGCAGUGGGGAAUAUUGGACAAUGGGCGCAAGCCUGAUCCAGCAAUGCCGCGUGUGUGAAG